CCUACGGGAGGCAGCAGUGAGGAAUAUUGGUCAAUGGGCGCGAGCCUGAACCAGCCAAGUAGCGUGAAGGAUGACUGCCCUACGGGUUGUAAACUUCUUUUAUAAAGGAAUAAAGUGAGGCACGUGUGCCUUUUUGUAUGUACUUUAUGAAUAAGGAUCGGCUAACUCCGUGCCAGCAGCCGCGGUAAUACGGAGGAUCCGAGCGUUAUCCGGAUUUAUUGGGUUUAAAGGUAGCGUAGAUGGGUUGUUAAGUCAGUUGUGAAAGGUUGCGGCUCAACCGUAAAAUUGCAAUUGAAACUGGGGGGUGUGAGUAUGUUUGAGGCAGGCGGAAUGCGUGGUGUAGCGGUGAAAUGCUUAGAUAUCACGCAGAACCCCGAUUGCGAAGGCAGCCUGCCAAGCCAUGACUGACGCUGAUGCACGAAAGCGUGGGGAUCAAACAGGAUUAGAUACCCUGGUAGUC
rnacentral:rRNA from 1 species